rnacentral:lncRNA from 1 species
GGAAAUUGAAAGGGAGAAAGAGAGAAUUAGUGGGAGAAUGAAGGCACAUGGCCGGUUGAGCAUAAGAGAAAAGGAGGAGGUGUGGGGUAUUUGUAUAUACCUAUAUCCAAUAUAUCUUAUUUUGUUUCUCUUUUAUCUCUUUUAUUUUCUAGCCAAAUGAACUUAAGAGAGAGAGAGUGAGAAGGGAGGCUUCGGCUACUUCAAGAGAAGAGGGAGGGGAGAUUUUGACUCUCAUGAAACCAAGAUACAUUCCAUAUCUUAGAAGGAGAAAUAAAUCA